AAAAAACACAUAUUCUUAUACUUUCGCCUCACUGAAAAUAAUGAUUUAUUUUGUAAAAGCUCCUGCAGGAAAUCGAUAUGAAACGCUCUCUUGGGAAUACAGCACUUCUGUGUCCCUCCACUCCCCGUCCAGCACACUCCCUCUGGGAUGUGAAUCACACUCUAAUGCUGCUGUGAAAAAGGAGACAUUGACGGCAAACCAAUGCAAGCCAUGGGGCUGCAGGAGCAGCAACGACCACCACAUGCCACUCAGGGGACUAUGGCUGAAACUCCUAAUUUUCUUUAACGCACUGGCAUCUGUAAUGCCCAGAAUGCAGUUGGGCCUCAGCGUAAUCAUGCAACAGGGAAUUGUGAGUUCAUGCUUAUUUUUUGUAGAUUUCUUGUCAUCGGUACACCAGUAUGAUAAUACACCAUUCUUCAUUGUAGCAAUCUCAUCAGGAUGAGACCACAAAACAGUGCUUAGCUAUAAAGAAAUACCCCUGUACAAACUGUUGCUAAAGUCCCAGCCAGAACCCAGUGAUGAUCUAGCACGCCAGGCCCGUCUCCAGUGCAGACGCACCCGCUUCGUGCUCAGGGCUGUCCGUCAGCGCCCUUCUCCCCGCCUACUGACGUCACCCCGCGGCGCUGGCGGAAUUCCCUGGGCCCACCAGUAUCCCAGCAUCCACCGUGCCGAACUGCAGCAGAUUGACAAAGAGGGAAAAAACAACAGGGUGGGAUUUAAACAACAACAUAUAGAAAAAAAAUUAAACGCAGGCUGCUCACCAUGCAGUUAAGGCAUUGAGGCCGACGUGCGGAAGAGGAGACACCUCAGAGCCCAGCGCGAGCGUGUGGAGCUGCAGAGAGAGAGAGCGAGAGAGAGACGAGGCCGUGUCAAUGCAGCAGCACAGACGGCAGCCUGAGCUGGUGGAAGGAAGUCUUCCCGUCUUCGUGUUCCCCACAGAACUCGCCUUCUACGCUGACGACCAGGCCUCGCACAAGCAGGUGCUCACCCUGUACAACCCCUACGAGUUUGCCUUAAAAUUCAAAGUCCUGUGCACAGCUCCCAGCAAGUAUGCGGUGGUGGAU